UCAGACAUGGUGUAACGGGAGCACAUACUCUUAUUCUGGAUCGACAGAAAGCAAUUGAGAGGUAGUUCAGGGUUCGACUCCCUGUGUCUGAA